CUAAGGGCGCACGGGGGAUGCCUAGGCACCGACGGCCGAUGAAGGGCGUGGCAAGCUGCGAAAAGCUUCGGUGAGGCGCAAGCGGCCUUUGACCCGGAGAUACCCGAAUGGGGCAACCUGGCUGGUGUAAAGACCAGUCACCCGCAAAUGCGGGGGGAACCCGGCGAAGUGAAACAUCUCAGUAGCCGGAGGAAGAGAAAUCGAACUUUGAGAUUCCCUGAGUAGUGGUGAGCGAAAGGGGAAGUAGCCUAAACCACGGGCGUGCAAGGCUGCGGCCGUUGCGUCCGUGGGGUUGAGGGGAUGUCGAGGCGGCUGCCGCAGUGGCCGCGUGAAGUUACAAAACCUGUAUCUAGCCGAACCGUGUUGGGAAAGCGGGCCAUAGAAUGUGAAAGCCACGUAGGCGAAAGAGACGGGACUUCACCGGACAUACCCCGAGUAGGCCGGAGCACGUGGAAUUCCGGUUGAAUCAGGGCGGACCACCGUCCAAGGCUAAAUACCGUUGGUGACCGAUAGUGAAGCAGUACCGAGAGGGAAAGGUGAAAAGCACCCCUGGCGGGGAGUGAAAAGACCUGAAACCGUGCGCUUACAAGCAAUCGUAGUCCGGCACCCAGCCCGGGGUAUCAGAGCCCCUGGCUUGGCCUGGAUCGGCCCUUGCCCCCAUGGAUCUGACAUGGGUGGCGGUGGGUUGUGAAGGCGGCAUUGAGGGGAUAACUAAUACCUUGCGCUGGGUGUCGGAUGGCGGUGUGCCUAUUGAAGAAUGAGCCGGCGAGUUACGGUAUGUGGCGAGGUUAAGGGCUUUGAGGCCUGGAGCCGCAGGGAAACCGAGUCUUAAUAGGGCGAACUAGUCGCAUGCUGUAGACCCGAAGCCGUACGAUCUAUCCAUGGGCAGGUUGAAGCCUCGGUGAAACGAGGUGGAGGACCGCACCACCGGCUGUUGAAAAAGCCUUGGAUGACCUGUGGAUAGGAGUGAAAAGCUAAUCGAGUACGGUGAUAGCUGGUUCUCCCCGAAAUGCAUUUAGGUGCAGCCUCGUAUAAAAAGAGUGGCGGGGGUAGAGCUACUGGAUGGAUGAGGGGGACUGGGGUCCUACCGAUUUCAACCAAACUCCGAAUACCGUUACUUGUAGAUACGGGAGUGAGACUACGGGUGAGAAGGUUCGUGGUCUAAAGGGAAACAGCCCAGACCGACAGCUAAGGUCCCUAAGCCCGCGCUGAGUGUGACAAGGAUGUGGGGGAGCCUGGACAGCCAGGAGGUUGGCUUAGAAGCAGCCACCCUUGAAAGAGUGCGUAACAGCUCACUGGUCGAGCGCCCCUGCGCCGAUAAUGUAGGGGGCUAAGCGCGGCGCCGAAGCUUCGGAACAUGCAUACUUAGGUGUGUGCGUAGUUGGUAGGGGAGCGUUCUGUACGGGGAGAAGUCGUGUCGUGAGGCGCGGUGGACUGUACGGAAGUGAGAAUGCCGGCAUAAGUAGCGAGAAACGCGUGGGAAACGCGUUCGCCGAAUGCCCGAGGAUUCCUGGGGAAGGUUAAUCCUCCCAGGGUUAGGCGGGACCUAAGGUGAGGCCGAAGGGCGUAGCCGAUGGACAGCAGGUAGACAAUCCUGCCCCGCCCCGUAACCGUUACUACCGAUGGGGUGACGCAAGAGGCUAGGUGCUCCGGGUGAUGGAAAACCCGGUACAAAGGAGUAGGGGGACGGUCCAGGCAAACCCGGACUGUUAUUAACCCUGAGACCUGACGUGGAUCCGCCGUAAUGGUGGAGAAGUCAUUGAGGCCCUAUUGCCGAGAAAAGCCUCUAGGGAGGGUAUGGGGCGCCCGUACCUCAAACCGACACAGGUGGGCUGGCUGAGCAGGCUAAGGCGGACGAGAUAACCCUCACCAAGGAACUCUGCAAGUUGACCCCGUAACUUAGGGAGAAGGGGUGCCGCGGCGGUGAAGUGUGUACAUAUGGAGCUGCUUGCGGUCGCAGAAACCAGGCCCAGGCGACUGUUUAGUAAAAACACAGGACUCUGCUGAAGGCGUGAAGCCGACGUAUAGGGUCUGACACCUGCCCGGUGCUGGAAGGUUAAGGGGAGAGGUUAUCCGGCACUCAGCUGAUGUUGUCAGGAGUUGAAGCCAUGUAUUACGUGUAUGUACUUGAGAACGAAGAGGGAGGCACGUACACGGGUUAUACGCGGGACCUUCGUGAACGCAUGAAGAGGCACGAGAAUGGAGAUACGAAGAGCACCAGGGGUAAGCGAUGGACUCUGGUGUACUACGAAGCCUAUUUCUCGAAAAAAGAUGCCACGAUGCGCGAACGCAGGCUCAAGAGAUCCCACCAGGCCAGGAGAUGGCUGAGGGAGCGGAUAGCCAGUAGCAUGGAAGAAGCUCUUAACGGCAUUUGCUGAGUGCCGGAGAAGCUUUGAACCGAAGCCCCAGUAAACGGCGGCCGUAACUAUAACGGUCCUAAGGUAGCGAAAUUCCUUGUCAGGUAAGUUCUGACCUGCACGAAUGGUGUAACGAUCUGGGCGCUGUCUCGGUGGGGGGCUCGGUGAAAUUGUGGUACCGGUAAAGACGCCGGUUACCCGUGGUGGGACGGGAAGACCCCGUGGAGCUUUACUGUAUCCUGAUAUUGGGUCUCGGUAUGUCAUGUACAGAAUAGGUGGGAGGCGUAGAAGGUGCGGCGUCAGCUGUGCUGGAGCCGUCGUUGGGAUACCACCCUUGAUGUACUGGGGUUCUAACCGCGAGUUCUGGAACGGACCGCGGGACAUUGUCAGGUGGGCAGUUUGACUGGGGCGGUCGCCUCCUAAAGAGUAACGGAGGCGCGCGAAGGUCACCUCGAGGCGAAUGGAAAUCGUCUUUUAGAGUGCAAGGGUAUAAGGUGGCCUUACUGUGAGACCGACGGGUCGAACAGUCUCGAAAGAGGGUCCUAGUGAUCCGGCGGUACCGAGUGGAAGGGCCGUCGCUCAACGGAUAAAAGCUACCCCGGGGAUAACAGGCUGAUCUUGCCCGAGAGUUCCCAUCGACGGCAAGGUUUGGCACCUCGAUGUCGGCUCGUCGCGUCCUGGGGCUGAAGCAGGUCCCAAGGGUUGGUCUGUUCGCCCAUUAAAGCGGUACGUGAGCUGGGUUUAGAACGUCGUGAGACAGUUCGGUCCCUAUCCACCAUGGGCGCAAGUGGUUUGAGGGGAGCUGCUCCUAGUACGAGAGGACCGGAGUGGACGCACCUCUGGUGUACCGGUUGUGCCGCCAGGCGCAUACGCCGGGUAGCUAUGUGCGGAACGGAUAACCGCUGAAAGCAUCUAAGUGGGAAGCCGGCCCCGAGAUGAGACCACUCGCCGCGACUAAAGCGGGUAAGGUAUCACGGAGACUACGUGAUUGAUAGGCCAGAGGUGUAAGGGCUGCGAGGCCUUGAGCUGACUGGUACUAAUUGACCGAGGCCUUAACC
rnacentral:rRNA from 1 species